rnacentral:rRNA from 1 species
GACGAACGCUGGCGGCGUGCUUAACACAUGCAAGUCGAACGGAGAUUUUAGCAAUAGAAUCUUAGUGGCGAACGGGUGAGUAACGCGUAGGCAAUCUGCCUUCUAGAUGGGGACAACAUCCCGAAAGGGGUGCUAAUACCGAAUGUUGUACCGUUUCCGCAUGGAGAUGAUACUAAAGGUGGCCUCUGAAUAUGCUACCGCUAGAAGAUGAGCCUGCGUCUGAUUAGCUAGUUGGAGGGGUAACGGCCCACCAAGGGAACGAUCAGUAGCCGGUCUGAGAGGAUGAACGGCCACACUGGGACUGAGACACGGCCCAGACUCCUACGGGAGGCAGCAGUGGGGAAUCUUCCGCAAUGGACGAAAGUCUGACGGAGCAACGCCGCGUGAGUGAAGAAGGUUUUCGGAUCGUAAAGCUCUUUCGUUAGGGAUGAACGUGCUCUUUGUGAAUAAUGAGGAGUAAUGACGGUACCUAAAUAAGAAGCCACGGCUAACUACGUGCCAGCAGCCGCAGUAAGAC